rnacentral:rRNA from 1 species
CUAAGUGGGCUUGAUUGUGGGGAAAACUCCACAGUUAAGCACGCUUGAGCCAGAGUGGUCUUGGGAUGGGUGACCACCUGGGAAGUCCUGGUUACCGAGU